UACAGAGGUGGCAAGCGUUGUUCGGAAUUACUGGGCGUAAAGGGCGCGUAGGCGGCCUUCUAAGUCGGACGUGAAAGCCCCAGGCUUAACCUGGGAACUGCGUCCGAUACUGGGAGGCUUGGAUUCGGGAGAGGGAUGUGGAAUUCCAGGUGUAGCGGUGAAAUGCGUAGAUAUCUGGAGGAACACCGGUGGCGAAGGCGGCAUCCUGGACCGGUAUUGACGCUGAGGCGCGAAAGCUAGGGGAGCAAACGGG
rnacentral:rRNA from 1 species